rnacentral:lncRNA from 1 species
CAGUAAAGUCUAUAGGGUGACAAUAGGGUCUGUGGGGUGACAAUAACCAUUAUGGGGUGACAGUGGGGUCUGUGGGGUGACAGUAGGGUCUAUGGGGUGACAAGGGGGUCUAUAGGGUGACAAUAACCAUUAUGGGGUGACAGUGGGGUCUAUGGGGUGACAAUGGGGUCUAUAGGGUGACAGUGGGGUCUAUGGGGUGACAGUAAAGUCUAUAGGGUGACAAUAGGGUCUAUGGGGUGACAAUAACCAUUAUGGGGUGACAGUGGGGUCUGUGGGGUGACAGUGGGGUCUAUAGGGUGACAAGGUGGUCUAUAGGGUGACAAUGGGGUCUAUGGGGUGACGGUGGGGUUUGUGGGGUGACAAUAAGGUCUAUAAGGUGACAGUGGAGUCUGUGGGGUGACAGUGAGGUCUGUGGGGUGACAGUAGGGUCUAUAGGGUGACAGUGGGGUCUGUGGGGUGACAAGGGAGUCUAUAGGGUGACAAUAGGGUCUAUGGGGUGACAAUAACCAUUAUGGGGUGACAGUGGGGUCUAUAGGGUGACAAUGGGGUCCAUGGGGUGACAGUGGGGUCUGUGGGGUGACGGUGCGGUCUAUAGGGUGACAAGGGGGUCUAUGGGGUGACGGUGCGGUCUGUGGGGUGACAGUGGGGUCUAUGGGGUGACAAUGGGGUCUAUGGGGUGACUGUGGGGUCUGUGGGGGUGACAAUGGGGUCUAUAGGGUGACAGUGGAGUCUAUAGGGUGACAGUGGGGUCUAUAGGGUGACAGUGGGGUCUGUGAGGUGAUAGUGGGAUCUUAGGGUGACGAUGGCUCUAUAGGGUGACAACAGGUUCUAUGGGGUGACAGUGACCACUAUGGGGUGACAAUGGCUGUAUAGGGUGACAAUAGGUUCUAUGGGGCCGCAAUAGGUUCUAUGGGGUGACAGUGGCUCUAUAGGGCCGCAAUAGGUUCUAUGGGGCCGCAAAUAGGUUCUAUGGGGUGACAAUAGGUUCUAUGGGGUGACAAUGGCUCU